rnacentral:lncRNA from 1 species
UCGGGAAGAAAUCUCAAAAUCAGGAUCGGCUAAAAAGGAAAUACCAAAAGAAAAGAAGAAAGUGGUAAAAGUUCUGUCUGAAGUUGAGGAGUGGCACUACAAUAUACAAUGCGCUAUGCACCAUGAACUACAACUUCCCUCGUCCAGUCACUGCACAAUUAAGUUACUUCCUCCCGUUCUAGUUCAGUCCUAGAAGGAAGUGACAGCUUUUGAAUAUCUGCACGAAAAUACUUAAAGUUUCAGCAACGAAUCGAGUACGAUUAAAAGAAACAAGUUUCCAUGCUUCUAUAGGAUAUAAUCUAAACAUAUAGGGAUAAAGAAUGAGAUGGUGUGAACUCAAUCAGAUCUAAUGUCCCC